rnacentral:piRNA from 1 species
UAGACAUGGUAUGAGGUACUGGCCU